rnacentral:tRNA from 1 species
AGCUGGCUGGCUCUGUCGGUAGAGCAUGUGAUUCUUGAUCUCGGGGUUGUGAGUUCGAACCCCAUGCUGGCUG